UACCAGCACCCCCGAGUGGUCGGGGACGAUUAUUGGGGCCUAAAAGCAUCCCGUAGCCCGGGCCCUUACAAGUCCCCCCGUUAAAUCCAACUGCUUAACAGAUGGGCUGCGGGAGGAUACUAUAAGACUAGGGAGGCAGGGAGAGGCAAGCGGGUACUCAGUGGGUAGGGGUAAAAUCCGUUGAUCCAUUGAAGACCACCAGUGGCGAAGGCGGCUUGCCAGAAUGCGCUCGACGGUGAGGGAUGAAAGCUGGGGGAGCAAACCGG
rnacentral:rRNA from 1 species